GUGGGGAAUUUUGGACAAUGGGGGCAACCCUGAUCCAGCCAUGCCGCGUGCGGGAAGAAGGCCUUCGGGUUGUAAACCGCUUUUGUCAGGGAAGAAAUCCUUUGGGUUAAUACCUCGGAGGGAUGACGGUACCUGAAGAAUAAGCACCGGCUAACUACGUGCCAGCAGCCGCGGUAAUACGUAGGGUGCGAGCGUUAAUCGGAAUUACUGGGCGUAAAGCGUGCGCAGGCGGUUUUGUAAGAUCGAUGUGAAAUCCCCGGGCUCAACCUGGGAACUGCAUUGGUGACUGCAAGGCUGGAGUGCGGCAGAGGGGGAUGGAAUUCCGCGUGUAGCAGUGAAAUGCGUAGAUAUGCGGAGGAACACCGAUGGCGAAGGCAAUCCCCUGGGCCUGCACUGACGCUCAUGCACGAAAGCGUGGGGAGCAAACAGGAUUAGAUACCCUUGUAGUCC
rnacentral:rRNA from 1 species